UUUGAACAAAGAUAAAGAUUGUUAGGUGUGAUUAAAGCUUGGAAAAUAUGAUUCCUACAAUAUAUGAGGGUUUUAGUCAGAAAUUCAAUUUGAUUAUAAUAAUUUAUUAUAGUUGAAUUUUUUCUCUUGUCCAUAAACCUUGAGCUGAUCUUGAACAAAGAUUAUAUAGACAAAUCGAAAUAUCAGUCUUAAUUCCCAACUGGGUUGCCCAGAUCUUCU
rnacentral:lncRNA from 1 species